GCGGAGGUAGUUCAGGGGUAGAACACCGGUCAUGGGACCGGAGGUCGGAGGUUCGAGACCUUCCCCGCCGCGCCA
rnacentral:tRNA from 1 species